UCUUCAGAACUCUUGUUCUUAAUCAUUAUUUAUCUGUAUAAUGUGACUGAAAAGGCAAGAGUUGAUUUUCUAUAAAUGGAACAUUUCAAAUAGUAUAUGCGGGAAAAAUUUAGUGCAAAUAUAAAAGCCUUCUGCUACUAGAGGCACUAGACUAGUGGACAGAUUGUGUUUGGAGCAGAAUUACAAUGUGGUUGUUAGCGCUGCUUGACGUGACAAACUCCAGACUCCAUUGUUGAGUGGGUUCUGCUUUUUGUACCAAAAACCGUCUAGCUUUUAGUCUGUUUUUUAAAUGACAUUGGUUUUAUGUACACUCUUAAACACUGUUUUUUUAUUAUUUGCACAUUUUGCAAAUAUUAUCUUUUGAUUGACACUCCUGAUUCACAUCGUGCGAUUCUCCGUGUGACUGCCUUGGUUCCUAUUACAACGUGAUUUCUUGGCACAAUUUCUCAGCUGGAUGUGCAUUUUGAAAAGAAACAAUGGAUUCCUUUGGAGCUUUUCACACUGGGAGUGAGCAAAAGGUGUUUUUUUUCUACGGUGCCAGUGAUAACAAUAGCCUUCUGAGAAGAUUGACACAUUGACUGAAAGUGUAUUUCCAAGGCUUAAAACUAUAAAAUGCAGAAACAAAGAACUGCAUCAAACAGUCAAAAGUGGUGAGAUAUGGUAAUAUCAAGCUAUGGCUCCAUUUCAAGAACCACUAAAUUAAAUGAAAGCAUAGUGUUGAUGCUACUUUAUCUUUGCAGCAUGUUACCCAUAAGCAUCAUGACCAGCAUGAUAAGUUAAUACCAUUGUAUUGAGCCCUGUACCACUGGGAAGACUGAUGUGAAACAGGUCUUUCCCCCUAUCACCUUGCAACAGUGAAUUAUAUAUACAAGGAUGGCCCAUCCACAGGAGAGUUGUAAAGGAUUGCUUUUCUCCUUACAGGCCAUUUUCAGUGAAACUCACUGGAUGGCAUUUGACAUUUAGAUUGCAUUAUCUUGUUGACAUGGGUACUGCGCAAUGCUAUUGGAUGCUAUUAUGUUUUUGCAUUUCUGCUUUACACAGUAAGUAGCUGCCUUUUUUGCUUACAUUUUUAGUUAAGAACCUCUUUUCACAAUUAUCUAAAUGUAUUCAUUUGUUUAAUGAGAGGCUAGUUGUAAUAGGCCUAUACAAAAGCAUCUAUCAAGUAAUGAAGUGUCUUUUAAUGAACAGUAUUCUAAAUAUAUUUCCAGAUCAUGCAUUGUUUUAGUUUUUAAACUUGUAAUUUUAUUUUCCUGUUUACAGCUACACUCUCAUUCAUUGUGACUCAAUCACUGGGGCUCAUAUAUGCCUCAGUUGGUGAAACCAUUGAAAUAAGAUGUGUAUAUGACCAGACAGUUCAGUAUUGCUAUUCUGCAGCUACUUUGUUCAAGGUGAAUCUCAGGAUUGGUAAACUAGUGCCCUCGAGGUUCAGCGAGUCUAAUAUUUACCCUCUGCCUAAUGAUAAAACUUGAUUUUUCACUCUUAAAAAAGCAACUCUGAAAGAUUCAGGCUUUUACUAUUGUACUGGCCAACAUAAUUCAAUAGCUAUCAUCGGCAAUGGAACCAAGGUGAUCGUUACAGAUCAAAUAUCCAAUGAACUAGAACUAUCCAUCCUAUACUCACCACAAGAAACCAACAAAUCACUUAUACCGCUGCAGUGUGUUGUGAUCAGCGUUGUCCCGUCUCAGGUCCGGGUAUUCUGGAUUAUAGGUCAGAAAGAGCACACAGGAUGGACCGAGUCAGCCUGGACAAACUCCACUGAUUCAGCCACUGAAUUCACACAUGCACAUAUUUCUGUACCUGCUGAAGAGUGGGCUAGAGGCGAUGAAAUUCAAUGCGUCGUUGAAUAUAAUGGCAAGAACACCUCAGAAACUCUGAAGAGAUGGGGUACGUAAAUGAUGACAGAGCAAGAAAGGUGCAAGAUUUUAGUCCUACAUGUUUUUGUCCACUCAUUGUUCUAGUUAGAAGUCUUGAACAUUGUCCACUAUUAGUUAUUUAUCAAACUACAUAGUCUAAAAUAAUUGUGCUGUGCUCAUUUAGAGUCUGAACAGAUAUGCUCCUGGCUUCUAUAUGGCAGCUAUGGGGCAGCAGUCCUUACCGUGGUUGUAACCGCCAUUAUCUCUGUGUGUUUAUACCGAGGUAAGAAUUUAAUGAGGUAUCACUGAGGCACUUCCAAUGGAAGUGAAUGGGGCCAAUUUUUUGAGAGUGUAAAAGCUUAUAAUUGUAUAAUUUAAAAGCACUUACAUGAAUUAUUCUGUUAAAACUUUUUUAUUUUUUUAAUUAUCUGCAUUGUGUCGUCAUGGCAACGAAAUGAUAAAAAUUGGAUAUAACUUUACACUGAAAAAGGUUUUAUUUUUAUUUAAUCACACUAAAUAUUCCUGUAACAUGCAUAUUGUUUACGUCUUGUGGAUAUACUUUGAAAAACAGUGAGUAUAUCAAAUUUAAGGAUUGGCCCCAUUUACUUCCAAUGUAAGUGCCUCACUGUAACCCAGCUAUUUAUUUAUUUAUUUAUUUUAAGAAAAGAAUGGCCAAGUCAAAAUAAAUUUUUGUGGUACUCAACUUUAUGCCACAAAUGUUGUGGAUUGAGCUUAACUUGUAUUGAACCUGGAAUAUUCCUUUAAAAUGCAACAAAGUGGCAAGUUCUGAACACCUAAAACCAGGAGUUGUGACAUGAGGAAUAAUAAAAAUAUGAAUAUAUUUAUAUGCCUAUAUAUACCUAUUUAUUUAUUCAAUUGAUGGUGAACUGAACGCAUGUGUCAGGUUUGUUAUAUUGAAUCAAGAAAGUCAUAUUUUUUCUGCAAUUUUCAGAUACAUAGGCUUCCUCAUGGGCUUAGAUAUUACAAACCCAAAACAAUAUCUAAUUUGGAAUAUGUAUGUGCUGGUUUAAUCACAUGUGGUGAAAAUGUGCAUUAUUUAGAACAAAAGUUUAUUAGGGUAUGAAUUUAAAAAAAGGGGGAAGAAAUCAAUACUUUAGAAGAAUAAAAGGAAAAGGAGCAAAUGCUAAAAUGGUCUAGUUGUUGAGAUUUUUGCAUGUUUUUUGUAAUCUGUUCAAUUAUAAAUGUAAUUUCCUACAUUCCAAUUCUCAGAGAUGCAUGCAAAAAACGUCCAAAGGGUAAGUAUUUUGUAUACCCAAGACUUAAAACAGUACCAUGAAUGUAUGAUUCAAAUAAGAAGCAAUAGUACCAAAAUGUACCCUUUUUUUUUUCAGGUUCUCAAGAAAAGAUGCCCACCGCAAAAUUCUGAAAUAUGGUAAACAGAGCACACUGACAGCAGACAGUUCGUCUGUAAUGGUAAGAAGCAUUCAUUUCUGCAUAUGUAGUCUUUUGCAAUCUUUGUUCAGAAAAUACGCCACUAUGCACUUUUUGUCAAAAAAAUAAAUACAAAAAAUUGAAAAAGUUAAAGAACUAACCGCAAAUGAUUUUGUUCAAUAACAAAUCAGUUACACUGAGAUUAAGUAUUUUCUCAAGUAAAUUGGUUUUGACUGUCCUGUAAAGUCUGUUAUGAUGUACAUACACCCUUUGUUUCCAAGACCUUGAGAGAUGUAGAGCAUGUUUGGAAUGGCAUACUGUCCUACCGUAUUGCAGUUAUUAUUUUUCCAGUACUGUCUUCAGUGUAUACUUUUGUAACAUUUAAUAAUGUUCAGUGCUGAUACUGGACAAAGUUUUAUACUUAGUUCAGCACCUGAACAUCUGCAGCUUCUGUAGCAAGGCACAUACAGUAUACAUUCUAUACGUAAGUCAUGUAAUAACAAAAUAAAUUUAAAGUAAUCUUCACUCAAAAAUUUAAAUUAUGUCAUUAUUUACUCGCCAUCAUGCUCAUCAUCAUUCAAACCCUUGUUAUUUUAUCCUUGAAACACAAAAGAAGAAGAAUAAUAAAACAAAAUCUUUACGAAGUUCUUUUCCAUACAAUUACAGUUUAUAGCGGCCACGUCCUUCAAGCUCUAUAUGGCACCAUUAAAGCUUCAAAAAUCUUUAAAAGGCACCAUGAAAGUACCAUAAAAUUAGCCCAUACUAAUUCAUUUUCAGUGAAUAACAAACUACAUUUCCUUUCAAAAGACUUGGAAUAUUGUGCGAGAGUCCAAUGGAUUACUUUUAUGGUACUUUUAUUUAUUUUUUAAUUUUUAAUUUAUGGUUACUUUUGGAGCCUAACAGAAGAAUAAAUAUUUUGCACAUGAUAUAGGUGGAGUUGUAGUGAAACUGCAUGAGGUGUUGUUCGUGCUCUCACUACAAUUUCAACUAUCAAAUUUGACAAAAAUAAUGUUUUUUAGCCAAACACAAAACCUAUACAACUGUCUAUAGCAGAUUAUUGUUUAUGUAUUAUUAUUAUUAUGCAUAUAUUAUGUACAUUAUGUAUUAUAUACAUUUGUUUGUAUCAAACUUUUGCAAACGUUUAACCAUGACUGUAUAUAGUGUUCCUCUGUGGAUCCAUGUCUCAGUGUGGAACAGUGUUUAAGUCAAUAAAAAGAAUGAUGGUAAAAACAGAAUAUUAUAUAUACAUUAUAUAUAUACAGUACUGUGCAAAAGUUUUAGGCACUUGUGAAAAAUGUAGCAUAGUGAGGAUGUCUUCAAAAAUAAUGAAAUAAAUAGUUUUCAUUUAUCAAUUAAUGUCAUACAAAGUCCAGUAAACAUAAAAAAAAGCUAAAUCAAUGUUUGUUGUGACAACCUCCGCCUUCAAAACAGCACCAGUUCUUAUAGGUACACCUGGACACAGUUUUUCUUGGUUGUUGGCAGAUAGGAUGUUCCAAGUUUCUUGGAGAAUUCACCACAGUUCUUCUAUCUAUUUCGGCUGUCUCAACUGUUUCUGUCUCUUCAUGUAAUCCCAGACUGACUUGAUGAUGUUGAGAUCCGGGCUCUGUGGGGGCCAUAACAUCUGUUGUAGGACUCUUAUAUUCUAUUCUAUUCUAUUCUAUUUGCAAAAGGAAUCUUUGGAAGUCUAAAAUUGAUAUUUCAUAUUGACACACUAAAGCUGAAGAUAAAAAAAUAACCAUCUUAAGACAAAUGUUUUUGUGAAACAUCUUAUGUGCCUAAGACAUUUGCAUAGUACUGUAUUGUGUAAAAAUUAAAAUAAUUCUGUAAAACAGCAAAUGGUAACCUUUGCAAAGAAAGCUUUCUCGUGUUGCUAAGAUUUUCUUUGCUCUUUUUUUUCAGGGUGUCAGUGCAUGGAAAGUUAGAGCAUGCCAAAAUGAUAGAAAUCAAAAUUAAGAGAUAAAACAUACAGUAUAUCUCAGUACACAAUAAUAGUUUUAUUUUACAUUUAGAUUACUUUUUCAUGUUUUUAGAAUAUUCAUGCUCAUGAAUAUUUAUUAGUGUUAUCAUGUUUUCCUGUAUGUAUCUUUGUUUAUUUAAAAAUGUUUUUUUUUUUUACUUAUUUGGUUCUAAUUUAAUUUUGUUGGUUAAUUUCUUAACUUUGGGUUUAAUAUUGCCACUCUAUAGGCUAUCAUAUACUUAUAUCCAGAGUUGUGUAUUUGCCUGUAAGUCAAUACAUAAAUGAUUGUGGGAAAUGUUGGAUAUGCCUUCUGUUGGUCCCUUUUGCCUAAUAUAUAUUUUUUGUUCCAUGGAAGAAUGAAACAAUGACUGCACCUCAUUCUUAAUGGCAGUUCAGCACUUCACCUUUUCUAUUUUUUCAGGUGGAGCUACAAAUUAGCCAAUUUGAAUUAGAUUUAUGCAACACAGAAUUGCAGAGCUGUUUCUCAGUUGUUCUUUCUUUCUUAGCAAAACCUAUAUAUACCUCUGUAUCAGUGUCCCAUUAUAUGAUGACAUCUUUGACUGCAAUGUAAUACUUAAAAAAAAUAUAUGACAUAAGACUUAAGCUCAAGUUUGAGAUUGUGUGCAUGUGCUUUUACCUUUUUUGUGAAGGGUUGAAAAACCACAGUGUAUACCAACAAGAAAAAGUAUGGUCGUCUUGCUGCAGCCUUUCUAUUUUUACUUGAGUGCUGCCUGGUUAGAUCAAAGGAGAUGCAUACAGAAACAUAACAGGAUGUUUGAGAUGAGGGUCUCAUGAAACACAACUGCACACCAGCUUUCAGUGCCCAUUUGCAACAACUCCACCAACAUUACCUUUUACCAGUGUAUUGAGAUAAUGUUCUCCUUUGACAUUCCAACAGAACCUAAAUAACCACAUUGAGCAUGCUAUGAUAUGUUGAUCAUGAAAUUAGAUGGCACAUAUUCUAUAAACAUUUUUUA